rnacentral:rRNA from 1 species
UACGUAGGGGGCUAGCGUUGUCCGGAAUCAUUGGGCGUAAAGAGCGUGUAGGCGGUCCGGUAAGUCCGCUGUGAAAGUCGGGGGCUCAACCCUCGAAUGCCGGUGGAUACUGUCGGGCUAGAGUACGGAAGAGGCGAGUGGAAUUCCUGGUGUAGCGGUGAAAUGCGCAGAUAUCAGGAGGAACACCUAUUGCGAAGGCAGCUCGCUGGGACGUAACUGACGCUGAGACGCGACAGCAUGGGGAGCAAACAGG